rnacentral:rRNA from 1 species
UACGAAGGGGGCUAGCGUUGUUCGGAAUUACUGGGCGUAAAGCGCGUGUAGGCGGGUCUUUAAGUCAGGGGUGAAAUGCCAAGGCUCAACCUUGGAACUGCCUUUGAUACUGGAGAUCUUGAGUCCGGGAGAGGUGAGUGGAACUGCGAGUGUAGAGGUGAAAUUCGUAGAUAUUCGCAAGAACACCGGUGGCGAAGGCGGCGACCUGGUCCGAUACUGACGCUGAGGCGCGAAAGCGUGGGGAGCAAACAGG